GAUGAACGCUGGCGGCGUGCUUAACACAUGCAAGUCGAACGGACGAUGAAGAGCUUGCUUUUCAAAGUUAGUGGCGGACGGGUGAGUAACGCGUGGGUAACCUGCCUCAUACAGGGGGAUAGCAGCUGGAAACGGCUGAUAAAACCGCAUAAGCGCACAGCAUCGCAUGAUGCAGUGUGAAAAACUCCGGUGGUAUGAGAUGGACCCGCGUCUGAUUAGCUAGUUGGUGAGGUAACGGCCCACCAAGGCGACGAUCAGUAGCCGGCCUGAGAGGGUGACCGGCCACAUUGGGACUGAGACACGGCCCAAACUCCUACGGGAGGCAGCAGUGGGGAAUAUUGCACAAUGGGGGAAACCCUGAUGCAGCGACGCCGCGUGAAGGAAGAAGUAUCUCGGUAUGUAAACUUCUAUCAGCAGGGAAGAUAAUGACGGU
rnacentral:rRNA from 1 species